rnacentral:misc_RNA from 1 species
GUAGGUGAACCUGCGGAAGGAUCAUUAUAAAUGAUGGUUGAUUGGUGGAGGUUGGUAAGACGACUGACACUGAUUGAUUCUAUACCUGUGAAUAUACCUAUGUCUGGUCGAUGCGUUAGCUUUGUGCUGCUUUAUGUAGCAAUAUCCUGGCUUGACGUCCGACCAGUAUUAUUCUUCGAAUCCUGUCUGACUACAAAGUUAAUAAAUAAAAACUUUCAACAAUGGAUCUCUUGGCUCUG